rnacentral:rRNA from 1 species
AACAGCUGCGGUUAAUAACUGUACUAAGGUAGCAUAAUAAAUUGUCUUAUAAAUUGAGACUAGAAUGAAUGGUUUGACGAAAGUUAUACUGUCUCUAUUAUAUUUUUUUGAAAUUAAUUUUUAUAGUGAAAAAGCUUAAAUUUUUUAAAGGGACGAAAAGACCCUAUUGAGCUUUAUAUUAAUAAUUGAUAAUUGAAAAUUUAUUAUAUUAUUAUUUUUAAUUUUGGUUGGGGUGAUCGAGGAAUAAAAAAGAGAUUAAUAACUUCCUUAAAUAGAUUUCUUUUAGGUUAAUAAACAAAUAUUUUUCUUUUAUGAUAAGUUACCAUAGGGAUAACAGCGUAAUUUCUUUUGAGAGUUCUUAUUAAAAAAGAAGAUUGCGACCUCGAUGUUGGAUUAAAAUUAACCUUAAGGUGGAGAAGCUUUAUUUGGUAAAUCUGUUCGAUUUUUAAAAUUUU